CCCUUAGAUGUCCUGGGCCGCACGCGCGCUACACUGACAUGUUCAACAAGCCUCCUAGUUCGACAGGAUUUGGGAAAUCUUUGAACGCAUGUCGUGAUAGGGAUAGAUCAUUGCAAUUAUUGAUCUUGAACGAGGAAUUCCUAGUAAACGCGAGCCAUCAGCUCGCAUUGAUUACGUCCCUGCCCUUUGUACACACCGCCCGUCGCACCUACCGAUUGAAUGUUUCGGUGAAGAUUCCGGAUAGGACUUUUUUGAUUUAUUUCAAUUUUGUCUUAAAAGCUAUCUAAACCUCAACAUUUAGAGGAAGGUGAAGUCGUAACA
rnacentral:rRNA from 1 species